rnacentral:rRNA from 1 species
GAACGAAGUAGCAAUACUUAGUGGCAGACGGGUGAGUAACAUGUAGGUAUCUUCCCUUUGGUGAGGAAUAACACGAGGAAACUUGUGCUAAUACCUCAUAAGUCUUUACGGAGAAAGCUUUAUGCGCCAAUGGAUGAGCCUGCACUUGAUUAGUUCGUUGGUAGGGUAAUGGCCUACCAAGACAAUGAUCAAUAGCUGAUUUGAGAGGAUGAUCAGCCACAUUGGGACUGAGACACGGCCCAAACUCCUACGGGAGGCAGCAGUAGGGAAUCUUGCACAAUGGGGGAAACCCUGAUGCAGCGAUGCCGCGUGAGUGAAGAAGGCCUUUGGGUUGUAAAGCUCUUUCGUCGGGGAAGAAAAUGACUGUACCCGAAUAAGAAGGUCCGGCUAACUUCGUGCCAGCAGCCGCGGUAAUACGAAGGGACCUAGCGUAGUUCGGAAUUACUGGGCUUAAAGAGUUCGUAGGUUGUUAAAAAAGUUGGUGGUGAAAUCCCAGGGCUUAACUCUGGAACUGCCAUCAAAACUUUUUAGCUAGGGUAUGAUAGAGGAAAGCAGAAUUUCUAGUGUAGAGGUGAAAUUCGUAGAUAUUAGAAAGAAUACCAAUUGCGAAGGCAGCUUUCUGGAUCAUUACUGACACUGAGGAACGAAAGCAUGGGUAGCGAAGAGGAUU